rnacentral:lncRNA from 1 species
UUGCCCAGAUAGACAACCCAAGAGGGGGGGUGAAUUGGGUUUUAAAAUAAUUUUACAAUUAAAACUUUUGUAGAUGACUAAUUAAUACUUUUGCAAGGUGAUUAAUUAGUUGCUAUGUGCUGUGAGUGAAAUGAGAAUGAGAGAAAGAGAGACAAGCAAUCACAAACACGAUGUUUAUAGUGGUUCGGAGCUAACUCUUGCUCCUACGUCCACUCCCCAAGUCUCACUUGGGAAUUCACUAUAACCCCUUGGAUUACAGCCGGUUGUUUUCCAAGCUCACAACCAAACUUGUUGUUUUACGAGCUCACAACGAACUCGGUCGGUUUUCCCAGGCUCACCGACUAGAACCAACCCCGAUUGUUUUCCCGGGAUCACAAUCGAACCUUUACACGUUGGUUUUACACUCGGCU